GCAGUCGUGGCCGAGUGGUUAAGGCGACGGACUAGAAAUCCAUUGGGGUCUCCCCGCACAGGUUCGAAUCCUGUCGACUGCG
rfam:Ixodes scapularis strain Wikel colony gcontig_1108379849580, whole genome shotgun sequence.